rnacentral:misc_RNA from 1 species
GAACAAGAUAAGAAAAUAAUGGCGCAUUAUUUAAACAAUGGUUGAGCUACAUCUUCUGAUUUGUUAUGUUAUUAGCAAAAAACAUUAAUUGUCAUAGCUCUACAUCUAAUAUUUCAAAGUUCUUGUAUGAUCUAAUAUAAAAAAAAAAAAAAUGAUCACUGGAGUCGGUCAUAUGAUAACUGAUAUUUUAGGUUAUUAAAACCACGAUUGGAGCUACAUCUUGUGAUUGGUUAUUCAAUUACCAAGUAGUACCUGUUGUCAUUCAUGACUUCCUAUCCUAGGUUUUUAAUGUUAUUCUUUUAUGAUUUGAUAUUCAGAAGUAUCAUUGUUUAAAGUUAUGGAUGGCGAUCAUAGUUGUGUCGAGUGCAGGAGACUAGGUUUUUACUGAGAAAUGAUGCUGCUAAUUAUUACUGUUAAUUUUUAUCGUGAUUUUUUAAUGGUGGCAGCUACUUACAUAUGGUCGGAGA